GCUAUGGCUCAGUGAUAUAGCACCUGCUUAACAAGCAGAAGGACUCAGGUUCAGUCCCUGGUAUCUCCA